rnacentral:lncRNA from 1 species
GCUAUCUGUGUAAGAGAAGGAGUGUUGGGCCAAAUGAGUCUUCCCCUGUACCUACCACCAUAUGGAAAUGCUUUUUGUGAAAGUGUUCCUUGAGGGUUUAGAAAGCAGAGGAAAUGAUUUUCAUGAUUGUUUUAAGACUUCAUAAGGAUCCAGAUAAAUUCCUUGCUUCACCCACAACUGACAGCUAUUGUAAGAGAUCGUACUGACUGGAAAUUCAAAUUUUCUGUUGAAUAUCAACGUCAUCCUGAUUUAACUCUGUAAAGUGGGGUUAAAGAACAGGCUGCAGUUAAAGUCUGUGGCAACUAAAAGCAUUACUGCCUGAGAUGCUGUUGUGAAGAGCUGAGGGUUUCUAGGCACACAGCCAGUGCUUCUCCCCCCUUAUUUUACUAACUGGACUCUAGAGAUGUUAAUAAUUUCAAGUGGCAGAUUAUAGUAUGCCGUGGUGGUGAGGAUAUUAGGUUUGCGCAACAGCACAUUGUUGAGGAGGUGGAAGAGCCACAGGCUGAUGAGCAGUGUUUCCUGUCUCAGAGGAAUGGUUUGUUAGCUUGUGAGAUGAGUCUGCAGUUUGCACAAGUGCCGCAUGGGGAACAAUUCUAACACUGCCAAGUCUUAUUUUUAGUCCAUAGCAGACAGCUGAGACUGCUCAAUAAUUAUCUAAGCUGAUUUCUUACCCACUUGAUUCAAAAGGAAAUGGCAGCUGAAAAUUCAGGGCCUGCAGCUCUCCAGCUUUCAUUGUAAAGGUCCCAGGAGUGGAAUCAAUUUGGGGUUUG